UGCUAUGGGCAACUGGACAACUUUUCCUCUGGACAGGUUUUGAUAAAUCUCCCCACAGUGUCCAAAAAAAAAAAAGGAAAAUGGAGCCGUCCCCACCUGAAGCAGCUAUCCCUGGCACAGAAAAUUGUAAUAAUGUGCUACAUCAUGGCUGCCACUUCAAAGAAAAUGAAUGCCAUAGUAAUAUUGAAGAAGAACAGGAAAAAAUUAGUUUUUUCCCAAUUAUUCACCACAAUGUCCAAACCUAUCCCAACUGCGAUUUAGACUGGAAGCCUUGUGUACGAUGGCUGCCCUCACCUCGAUAUUCAGAAGCCCCACUGCCUCAUAUAAAGGACGCACAAUUCCCAGAGUACAUAAGAAUCCAGCGAUCAUAUCCCGGCAGCAGCCUAAAUGAUGGAGCUGAAUGGAGUUUUUAUCCCAACUUUGGCUGUGACUUUACUUACCAUACCGGGAAGAGAUGUAUCAUUGGCGGUGUUCAUAGAGGCAGCCGGGUGGGCACACAUGUUCACACACUACCAAAGAGCACUGGAAUAAAGAAGAAAGUUUUCGAUCCCCGAAACGGAAUCCCUGAAGCUCAUCCGGGAGACAAACCUUACCACACAGUAGAAUACAGCGCUGGUUUCCACAGACUUGGCUCUACACUUCCGGUGGUAAAUUUUAGGGAAUCCUUCAAGGUUAAAGCCGAUACUUUCAUUCCUCUACAAAAAUUACCCAAGAAACCAGGUAUUCCAUACAAAGCCAAGAUUCACAUGCAAAACCUGGAGGAAGAGAAGCGAGAUGUGGAAGAACUCAAUAGAUGGAAACCGGCCCAGCGCUCCUUUCUCUUCGAAUUCCCUGUAAAUGGACAAAAAUAAAAGUUGAUACAAAUGCAAUUCCCAGCCAUGUCCACCGUCUGCUUGCUAGAGAUUAUCCACCCAUUAUACCUGCAUCCCAUCGAUCCAAUCACAUCCAUUAAAGACAGCGUGAGGACAAAGGUGCAGUGUCAGACAGGUAUUCUGGCAAGGACGCCGGGAGCCUCCGCGUGAAGGUGACAGCUGUAUCGCACUUCCGUGCUUCUUCAGACCAUCAAUGGUCCAAUGAACAUUUGGAUUGCCUAUUAAGAUUGAGCACCACUUCAAGUCAAAGUUAUUCACCUGUCAAGUGAUUGCAUCUUUCCGGACUAUCAGCAGUGCCAGUCUCUCUCUCACUAUACUUUGCUGUAAUUUACAAAUUUGUUUUAAC